rnacentral:rRNA from 1 species
UUGGGACUGAGACACGGCCCAAACUCCUACGGGAGGCAGCAGUGGGGAAUAUUGGGCAAUGGAGGAAACUCUGACCCAGCAACGCCGCGUGGAGGAAGAAGGUUUUCGGAUCGUAAACUCCUGUCCUUGGAGACGAGUAGAAGACGGUAUCCAAGGAGGAAGCCCCGGCUAACUACGUGCCAGCAGCCGCGGUAAUACGUAGGGGGCAAGCGUUGUCCGGAAUAAUUGGGCGUAAAGGGCGCGUAGGCGGCUCGGUAAGUCUGGAGUGAAAGUCCUGCUUUUAAGGUGGGAAUUGCUUUGGAUACUGUCGGGCUUGAGUGCAGGAGAGGUUAGUGGAAUUCCCAGUGUAGCGGUGAAAUGCGUAGAGAUUGGGAGGAACACCAGUGGCGAAGGCGACUAACUGGACUGUAACUGACGCUGAGGCGCGAAAGUGUGGGGAGCAAACAGGAUUAGAUACCCUGG